rnacentral:rRNA from 1 species
AGUGAACGCUGGCGGUAGGCCUAACACAUGCAAGUCGAACGGCAGCACAGUAAGAGCUUGCUCUUACGGGUGGCGAGUGGCGGACGGGUGAGGAAUACAUCGGAAUCUACUUUUUCGUGGGGGAUAACGUAGGGAAACUUACGCUAAUACCGCAUACGACCUACGGGUGAAAGCAGGGGAUCUUCGGACCUUGCGCGAUUGAAUGAGCCGAUGUCGGAUUAGCUAGUUGGCGGGGUAAAGGCCCACCAAGGCGACGAUCCGUAGCUGGUCUGAGAGUAUGAUCAGCCACACUGGAACUGAGACACGGUCCUGACUCCUACGGGAGGCAGCAGUGGGGAAUAUUGGACAAUGGGCGCAAGCCUGAUCCAGCCAUACCGCGUGGGUGAAGAAGGCCUUCGGGUUGUAAAGCCCUUUUGUUGGGAAAGAAAAGCAGCAGGUUAAUACCCCGCUGUUCUGACGGUACCCAAAGAAUAAGCACCGGCUAACUUCGUG